CGCCCAGACUCCUACGGGAGGCAGCAGUGGGGAAUAUUGCACAAUGGGGGAAACCCUGAUGCAGCGACGCCGCGUGAGCGAUGAAGUAUUUCGGUAUGUAAAGCUCUAUCAGCAGGGAAGAAGAUGACGGUACCUGACUAAGAAGCCCCGGCUAACUACGUGCCAGCAGCCGCGGUAAUACGUAGGGGGCAAGCGUUAUCCGGAUUUACUGGGUGUAAAGGGAGCGUAGACGGCGAUGCAAGCCAGAUGUGAAAGCCCGGGGCUCAACCCCGGGACUGCAUUUGGAACUGUGUGGCUGGAGUGUCGGAGAGGCAGGCGGAAUUCCUAGUGUAGCGGUGAAAUGCGUAGAUAUUAGGAGGAACACCAGUGGCGAAGGCGGCCUGCUGGACGAUGACUGACGUUGAGGCUCGAAAGCGUGGGGAGCAAACAGGAUUAGAUACCCCAGUA
rnacentral:rRNA from 1 species